rnacentral:rRNA from 1 species
UGGGGAAUCUUGCACAAUGGGGGCAACCCUGAUGCAGCGACGCCGCGUGAGCGAUGAAGCCCUUCGGGGCGUAAAGCUCUUUCGACCGGAACGAUAAUGACGGUACCGGGAGAAGAAGCUGCGGCUAACUACGUGCCAGCAGCCGCGGUAAUACGUAGGCAGCAAGCGUUGUUCGGAGUUACUGGGCGUAAAGAGUGCGUAGGCGGUUUUCUAAGUUCGGUGUGAAAUCUCCCGGCUUAACUGGGAGGGUGCGCCGAAGACUGGGAAGCUGGAGUGUGGGAAAGGCAGGCGGAAUUCCUGGUGUAGCGGUGAAAUGCGUAGAUAUCAGGAGGAGCACCGGCGGUGUAGACGGCUUGCUAGACCAUAACUGACGCUGAGGCACGAAAGCGUGGGUAGCAAACA